UUAAAUUGAAGAGUUUGAUCAUGGCUCAGAUUGAACGCUGGCGGCAGGCCUAACACAUGCAAGUCGAGCGGUAGCACAGAGAGCUUGCUCUCGGGUGACGAGCGGCGGACGGGUGAGUAAUGUCUGGGAAACUGCCUGAUGGAGGGGGAUAACUACUGGAAACGGUAGCUAAUACCGCAUAACGUCGCAAGACCAAAGUGGGGGACCUUCGGGCCUCAUGCCAUCAGAUGUGCCCAGAUGGGAUUAGCUAGUAGGUGGGGUAACGGCUCACCUAGGCGACGAUCCCUAGCUGGUCUGAGAGGAUGACCAGCCACACUGGAACUGAGACACGGUCCAGACUCCUACGGGAGGCAGCAGUGGGGAAUAUUGCACAAUGGGCGCAAGCCUGAUGCAGCCAUGCCGCGUGUGUGAAGAAGGCCUUCGGGUUGUAAAGCACUUUCAGCGGGGAGGAAGGCGAUAAGGUUAAUAACCUUGUCGAUUGACGUUACCCGCAGAAGAAGCACCGGCUAACUCCGUGCCAGCAGCCGCGGUAAUACGGAGGGUGCAAGCGUUAAUCGGAAUUACUGGGCGUAAAGCGCACGCAGGCGGUCUGUCAAGUCGGAUGUGAAAUCCCCGGGCUCAACCUGGGAACUGCAUUCGAAACUGGCAGGCUAGAGUCUUGUAGAGGGGGGUAGAAUUCCAGGUGUAGCGGUGAAAUGCGUAGAGAUCUGGAGGAAUACCGGUGGCGAAGGCGGCCCCCUGGACAAAGACUGACGCUCAGGUGCGAAAGCGUGGGGAGCAAACAGGAUUAGAUACCCUGGUAGUCCACGCCGUAAACGAUGUCGAUUUGGAGGUUGUGCCCUUGAGGCGUGGCUUCCGGAGCUAACGCGUUAAAUCGACCGCCUGGGGAGUACGGCCGCAAGGUUAAAACUCAAAUGAAUUGACGGGGGCCCGCACAAGCGGUGGAGCAUGUGGUUUAAUUCGAUGCAACGCGAAGAACCUUACCUGGUCUUGACAUCCACAGAACUUAGCAGAGAUGCUUUGGUGCCUUCGGGAACUGUGAGACAGGUGCUGCAUGGCUGUCGUCAGCUCGUGUUGUGAAAUGUUGGGUUAAGUCCCGCAACGAGCGCAACCCUUAUCCUUUGUUGCCAGCGGUUAGGCCGGGAACUCAAAGGAGACUGCCAGUGAUAAACUGGAGGAAGGUGGGGAUGACGUCAAGUCAUCAUGGCCCUUACGACCAGGGCUACACACGUGCUACAAUGGCAUAUACAAAGAGAAGCGACCUCGCGAGAGCAAGCGGACCUCAUAAAGUAUGUCGUAGUCCGGAUUGGAGUCUGCAACUCGACUCCAUGAAGUCGGAAUCGCUAGUAAUCGUAGAUCAGAAUGCUACGGUGAAUACGUUCCCGGGCCUUGUACACACCGCCCGUCACACCAUGGGAGUGGGUUGCAAAAGAAGUAGGUAGCUUAACCUUCGGGAGGGCGCUUACCACUUUGUGAUUCAUGACUGGGGUGAAGUCGUAACAAGGUAACCG
rnacentral:rRNA from 1 species